GCUGUAGCUCCGUGAGUGGUUGAUCAUUUGCUUUGUGUGUAGAAGGCCCCAGGUUCAAUCCCUGGCACCUGCA